CCCCAUUCCACCAGGAACUUUGACCAAGAAGUUCUCGCCAGAUACGCAAACGGCACAGGUCGCCACUCACCAGCAACAUUGACGGACCAAGAAAGAAUUGCUCGGGAGCAGGUACGUGGAAACUAUCCAGGCCAGUCAUGGUAAACCAUAAAUAGGGCCAUAGAGGGGCAGGGCAGUGCAGACACACCCACACACCCAUUCCUGCAGGCAGCAACAGACAGCGCACAGAGAAACGAAGGCUCUGCUAGACUGCUAUGGCGGCCAAAGCUCAAAUUUCCCUCUGCGUGCUCGUUGUUUUCCUCUUCCUCCUCGUCGCCACGGAAUUUGCUGCUGCUAGGGAACUAGCUGGGAGCGGUAUUGUUUACUGGAACCUCUCAUUCUCUAAUUCCUUCCUUUGUACUCAGUCAAAUUCUCUCAUCCCUCCCUGUCCCUCUCUCUGAAUUCAUGCUUGAUUAUUUGCUUGAUUCAGAUGGCAGCGGUAACUACGGGGGCGGCCUGGCUCCACCGGGCGCGAGUUAUCCAACCACUCCAUUUCCACCGUACUAGGUCGGAGAACCAGUAUACGAUAUGAACACGGCCAUGUAUUUCUUAAUAAACGACCUGUACGCACACUUAUGUACCUCUCCACCUACAUGUAAGCAGAGCUUGUGAUCUCCCUGCGAAGUGGACUAUGGAUACCAGAUUACCGGAUCCGUCGUGGAUAUCACGGCGGUCGAACUAUUAAUUAAUUGAGAUUUUUGCCAGAAAUCAUUACCUUGUGGAGUAUAAUACAUUUCUCUGAUUAAAUGUGUCAUAUCCGUUGCCUAGUUUAGGCCAGAAUUGGCGUGUGAUAUACUCCAUCCAUCCGAAAAUAUGUGAAUUGAAUUUAUGUAAGAGAUACACAGCGAUCUGACACGAGCAGAAGUGUUUUAUAACAAGAGAUUUCACAUCCAC
rnacentral:lncRNA from 1 species